GACGAACGCUGGCGGCGUGCUUAACACAUGCAAGUCGAACGGUGAAGGGACUGGUUUUGCUGGUCCUGGAUGAGUGGCGAACGGGUGAGUAACACGUGAGUAACCUGCCCCCUUCUUCUGGAUAACCGCAUGAAAGUGUGGCUAAUACGGGAUAUUCUGGGUCUGUCGCAUGGUGGGCCUGGGAAAGAUUGCGCCUUUUUUGGUGUUUUUGGUGGGGGAUGGGCUCGCGGCCUAUCAGCUUGUUGGUGGGGUGAUGGCCUACCAAGGCGGUGACGGGUAGCCGGCCUGAGAGGGUGGACGGUCACACUGGGACUGAGACACGGCCCAGACUCCUACGGGAGGCAGCAGUGGGGAAUAUUGCACAAUGGGCGCAAGCCUGAUGCAGCGACGCCGCGUGAGGGAUGGAGGCCUUCGGGUUGUGAACCUCUUUCGCCAGUGCAGCAGGCCUGCCUCUUUUUGUGGGUGGGUUGACGGUAGCUGGAUAAGAAGCGCCGGCUAACUACGUG
rnacentral:rRNA from 1 species